rnacentral:lncRNA from 1 species
GUUUAUUUUUUGACAAAUGGAUUUGAAAGUCCCUUUGUUAUCUUUCGCUGCUUUUUGUAAUAUCACACGACAGACAUGUAAUAGUUUGAUUCGAGAAAAUGUAAGAGGGAAUUUCAAUUGCAUUGUUUUCAAUAUCUUGUUUAACCUUUCUUGUAGGAUUUUGAUAUACAGUUAGCUGCUAAACAUACUACUACCAGUGCUGUCAGAAAACCAACCAAUGUAUAGCAUAU